rnacentral:rRNA from 1 species
AUUGAACGCUGGCGGCAUGCCUUACACAUGCAAGUCGAACGGCAUCGCGGGAACGCUUGCUUUCCUGGCGGCGAGUGGCGAACGGGUGAGUAACACAUCGGAACGUACCGGCUAGUGGGGGAUAACCCGUCGAAAGACGGGCUAAUACCGCAUACGCUCUUCGGAGGAAAGCAGGGGACCUUUGGGCCUUGCGCUAGCCGAGCGGCCGAUGUCCGAUUAGCUAGUUGGUGGGGUAAAGGCCUACCAAGGCGACGAUCGGUAGCGGGUCUGAGAGGACGAUCCGCCACACUGGGACUGAGACACGGCCCAGACUCCUACGGGAGGCAGCAGUGGGGAAUCUUGGACAAUGGGGGCAACCCUGAUCCAGCAAUGCCGCGUGGGUGAAGAAGGCCUUCGGGUUGUAAAGCCCUUUCGGCAGGGAAGAAAUCGGCGGGGCGAAUAACCCUGCUGGAUGACAGUACCUGCAGAAGAAGCACCGGCUAACUACGUG